rnacentral:rRNA from 1 species
UACGUAGGGUGCAAGCGUUAAUCGGAAUUACUGGGCGUAAAGCGUGCGCAGGCGGUUUGGUAAGACAGAUGUGAAAUCCCCGGGCUCAACCUGGGAAUUGCAUUUGUGACUGCCCGACUAGAGUGUGUCAGAGGGGGGUAGAAUUCCACGUGUAGCAGUGAAAUGCGUAGAGAUGUGGAGGAAUACCGAUGGCGAAGGCAGCCC